UACGUAGGGGGCAAGCGUUAUCCGGAUUUACUGGGUGUAAAGGGGGCGCAGACGGCGAUGCAAGCCAGGAGUGAAAGCCCGGGGCCCAACCCCGGGACUGCUCUUGGAACUGCGUGGCUGGAGUGCAGGAGGGGCAGGCGGAAUUCCUGGUGUAGCGGUGAAAUGCGUAGAUAUUAGGAGGAACACCAGUGGCGAAGGCGGCCUGCUGGACGACAACUGACGGUGAGGCGCGAAAGCGUGGGGAGCAAACAGGAUUAGAAACCCCAGUAGUCCUCAAGUAGAU
rnacentral:rRNA from 1 species